AGUGAAGCGAACGCGGUGAACUGAAACAUCUAAGUAACCGCAGGAAAAGAAAUCAACCGAGAUUCCCAAAGUAGUGGCGAGCGAAAUGGGAUGAGCCUUGCACUCUUUAUUUGUAUUGUUAGCCGAACGCUCUGGAAAGUGCGGCCAUAGCAGGUGAUAGCCCUGUAGGCGAAAACAGUAUGAAAGAACUAGGUGUGCGACAAGUAGGGCGGGACACGUGAAAUCCUGUCUGAAGAUGGGGGGACCAUCCUCCAAGGCUAAAUACUCGUGAUCGACCGAUAGUGAACCAGUACCGUGAGGGAAAGGCGAAAAGAACCCCGGGAGGGGAGUGAAAUAGAUCCUGAAACCGCAUGCAUACAAACAGUCGGAGCCUCGUAAGGGGUGACGGCGUACCUUUUGUAUAAUGGGUCAGCGACUUACGUUCAGUAGCAAGCUUAACCGUAUAGGGCAGGCGUAGCGAAAGCGAGUCCGAAUAGGGCGUUCAGUUGCUGGGCGUAGACCCGAAACCAGGUGAUCUAUCCAUGGCCAGGAUGAAGGUGCGGUAACACGUACUGGAGGUCCGAACCCACUAACGUUGAAAAGUUAGGGGAUGAGCUGUGGAUAGGGGUGAAAGGCUAAACAAACCUGGAAAUAGCUGGUUCUCUCCGAAAACUAUUUAGGUAGUGCCUCGUGUCUCACCUUCGGGGGUAGAGCACUGUCAUGGUUGGGGGGUCUAUUGCAGAUUACCCCGCCAUAGCAAACUCCGAAUACCGAAGAGUGCAAUCACGGGAGACAGACAUCGGGUGCUAACGUCCGGUGUCAAGAGGGAAACAACCCAGACCGCCAGCUAAGGUCCCCAAAUAUAGCUAAGUGGGAAACGAAGUGGGAAGGCUAAAACAGUCAGGAGGUUGGCUUAGAAGCAGCCACCCUUUAAAGAAAGCGUAAUAGCUCACUGAUCGAGUCGUCCUGCGCGGAAGAUGUAACGGGGCUAAGCUAUAUACCGAAGCUGCGGAUGCGAGCUUGCUCGCAUGGUAGGAGAGCGUUCCGUAAGCCUGCGAAGGUGCCUUGUAAAGGGUGCUGGAGGUAUCGGAAGUGCGAAUGCUGACAUGAGUAGCGAUAAAGGGGGUGAAAGGCCCCCUCGCCGUAAGCCCAAGGUUUCCUACGCAACGUUCAUCGGCGUAGGGUGAGUCGGCCCCUAAGGCGAGGCAGAAAUGCGUAGCUGAUGGGAAGCAGGUCAAUAUUCCUGCACCAUUGUUAGAUGCGAUGGGGGGACGGAUCGCGGAAGGUUGUCCGGGUGUUGGAAGUCCCGGUCGCUGCAUUGGAGAAGGCGCUUAGGCAAAUCCGGGCGCGUAAUUCAAGGGUGUGGCGCGAGCUCCUUAGGGAGCGAAGCAAUUGGAAGUGGUUCCAAGAAAAGCCUCUAAGCUUCAGUCUAACGAUGACCGUACCGCAAACCGACACAGGUGGGCGAGAUGAGUAUUCUAAGGCGCUUGAGAGAACUCGGGAGAAGGAACUCGGCAAAUUGGUACCGUAACUUCGGGAUAAGGUACGCCCUUGUAGCUUGACUGGCCUGCGCCAGGAGGGUGAAGGGGUUGCAAUAAACUGGUGGCUGCGACUGUUUAAUAAAAACACAGCACUCUGCAAACACGAAAGUGGACGUAUAGGGUGUGACGCCUGCCCGGUGCCGGAAGAUUAAAUGAUGGGGUGCAAGCUCUUGAUUGAAGUCCCGGUAAACGGCGGCCGUAACUAUAACGGUCCUAAGGUAGCGAAAUUCCUUGUCGGGUAAGUUCCGACCUGCACGAAUGGCGUAACGAUGGCCACACUGUCUCCUCCCGAGACUCAGCGAAGUUGAAGUGUUUGUGAUGAUGCAAUCUACCCGCGGCUAGACGGAAAGACCCCAUGAACCUUUACUGUAGCUUUGCAUUGGACUUUGAACCGAUCUGUGUAGGAUAGGUGGGAGGCUAUGAAACCGGAACGCUAGUUUCGGUGGAGCCGUCCUUGAAAUACCACCCUGGUUUGUUUGAGGUUCUAACCUUGGCCCGUGAUCCGGGUCGGGGACAGUGCAUGGUAGGCAGUUUGACUGGGGCGGUCUCCUCCCAAAGCGUAACGGAGGAGUACGAAGGUACGCUAGGUACGGUCGGAAAUCGUGCUGAUAGUGCAAUGGCAUAAGCGUGCUUAACUGCGAGACCGACAAGUCGAGCAGGUGCGAAAGCAGGUCAUAGUGAUCCGGUGGUUCUGUAUGGAAGGGCCAUCGCUCAACGGAUAAAAGGUACUCUGGGGAUAACAGGCUGAUACCGCCCAAGAGUUCAUAUCGACGGCGGUGUUUGGCACCUCGAUGUCGGCUCAUCUCAUCCUGGGGCUGUAGCCGGUCCCAAGGGUAUGGCUGUUCGCCAUUUAAAGAGGUACGUGAGCUGGGUUUAAAACGUCGUGAGACAGUUUGGUCCCUAUCUGCCGUGGGCGUUGGAUAUUUGAAGGGGGCUGCUCCUAGUACGAGAGGACCGGAGUGGACGAACCUCUGGUGUACCGGUUGUCACGCCAGUGGCAUCGCCGGGUAGCUAUGUUCGGAAGAGAUAACCGCUGAAAGCAUCUAAGCGGGAAACUCGCCUUAAGAUGAGAUAUCCCUGGGGACUAGAUCCCCUUGAAGGGUCGUUCGAGACCAGGACGUUGAUAGGUCAGGUGUGUAAGCGCAGUAAUGCGUUCAGCUAACUGAUACUAAUUGCCCGUAAGGCUUGAUCCU
rnacentral:rRNA from 1 species